UACGUAGGGUGCAAGCGUUGUCCGGAAUUAUUGGGCGUAAAGAGCUCGUAGGCGGUUCGUCGCGUCGGCUGUGAAAUCCCGAGGCUCAACCUCGGGUCUGCAGUCGAUACGGGCGGACUGGAGUACUGCAGAGGAGACUGGAAUUCCUGGUGUAGCGGUGAAAUGCGCAGAUAUCAGGAGGAACACCGGUGGCGAAGGCGGGUCUCUGGGCAGUUACUGACGCUGAGGAGCGAAAGCGUGGGGAGCGAACAGG
rnacentral:rRNA from 1 species